rnacentral:lncRNA from 1 species
CAGAGAGUAAGUUUGUUGAGCUAAGCAAACCAACAAAUAAAAAAUGGAGAGGCGUCAGAGUGAGGAAGAAUUAAAGCAUAAGCUUCAAGAAUUGCAGAAGCAGUUAGGAAAGAAACAAAUGUUUGAGGAAGCUGUUUCCUCUAUCCGAUCCCUUCUUCUUCAAUACUAUCCUUCUGCUUCCCCUUCUCUUCGUCAUUCGGUAAUUUCCCUCUUCCCCUUUUCUGGGUUUUCCUUUUAUUCUUGAUUUAUGUAAUAUGUAUUACGGGAAAUGUUGACCCAUUAUUUUCUUUUCUGCUAUAGAAAAGUCUUAUUACUUAAUUUUGCUUUUGAGUUAGUGGUUUUCGUGAUUUAUUUGAGUAUAUAUGAGUUUGGAUAGCUGCAGAAUAAAAAGUUAACUGGGUGAGUUUUACUUCUUGGAGCUGAAUUAUGG